GCCCGUAUAGCUCAGUGGUAGAGCGUUCCGCUCGUAUUUCGACACGGAAAGGUCGGCGGUUCGAUCCCGCCUGGGGGCA